UACAACGAGUCGCAAGACCGCGAGGUUUAGCAAAUCUCUUAAAGCCGUUCUCAGUUCGGAUUGUAGGCUGCAACUCGCCUACAUGAAGUCGGAAUCGCUAGUAAUCGCGGAUCAGCAUGCCGCGGUGAAUACGUUCCCGGGCCUUGUACACACCGCCCGUCACACCAUGAGAGUUUGUAACACCCAAAGCCGGUGGGGUAACCUUUUGGAGCCGGCCGUCUAAGGUGGGACAGAUGAUUGGGGUGAAGUCGUAACAAGGUAUC
rnacentral:rRNA from 1 species